rnacentral:rRNA from 1 species
AUGGAGGCCGCCUCGUGGCAGCGCGCUCAUCGGACGGCUCGGAGGGUUCAACGGUCAACCGGCAGCAGCUGCUGCUCUCUUGUAUGGACGCGCGCUGCACGCACCAACCGGGUCGGGCUGGACCGGGAGCGGCGUGGCUGGCGGGUGGGGCCGCGCUUGUCAGUUUGUGUGGAUUGCGCGUGUCGCAGGGUGUCGAGGUUGAGGGCGUGGAAAUCCAGGGGCCGAUGGGGACGGAGCGGAUGGAAGGUAGUAGCAGCCGACGCGUUAUUGUUUUGCUUGGCGAGUCCGCUGGGUGUGGUGCCAUUUGACCCACCGGUCGCCUGGUUUUUUUCUCUGGCUUUUCUUGGGCACCGUGGAAACGCUCCGGUUCGGAAGUCUACGCUCCAAAUCUGGAGACUGGGCAAUCCUGCGUCCCGGUCAAGAGGGGGAUGCAAGCAGGUGAGCUGGGCAGAUCCUCCAAAGGCUUCAAGCUGUGUCGGCUGGUGA